CGGCCCCCCCUCCGUUUCUUCAUUGGUACCAUCGUCUUUGCUUUUGCAGUUCAAUGCAGUGGAGGGAGGCAUUAAGAUUCAGGGAUUUAUUGGAGUGUGAUUGUUUGUAGGAGAGUGUACAACAGCCUGUGUUGUUGGAGAUCAACGGACUGUCUGUCUGGUGGUGUGAUUGGUUUCAUUUGUGAAGCAUCAACAACAUGGCGGAGUCGCCGCUGAAAAAAAUUGAGGACAACCUGCUCGUGAAUGGAGUGCGACUGGAUCAUACUCGGAAUUGCACUCUCGAGUUGGUUGCUGCUGCUGCUGCUGUUAAGGAUGUUCUUCUCAGUCUUCCUGAUAAGAAGUUGUUGUAGUAAGAGGAGUUGCUCAACCUGCAUCUUGACACAAUAGAAGUGCACUCCAAGAUGCAACGAAGAAAUGCACUGCUGGUUCUGAAUCUGAUUCUGACGGAUUAUGGUGUUGUUAAUGCAUGAACAACCUGGAGGCAUGGUUCACAAUCGUCAACUGUUACUUGGCGUUCUUAGGACAUCCUUAAAAUAAUCGCGAGGGAAUGUAACAUUUUCAAAACUGCUGCAACUAAAUUGAAAGAAUGAUCUGAUUUACCAAAA